CGGCGACGGGUGAGUAAUGCCUAGGAAUCUGCCUGGUAGUGGGGGACAACGUUUCGAAAGGAACGCUAAUACCGCAUACGUCCUACGGGAGAAAGCAGGGGACCUUCGGGCCUUGCGCUAUCAGAUGAGCCUAGGUCGGAUUAGCUAGUUGGUGAGGUAAUGGCUCACCAAGGCGACGAUCCGUAACUGGUCUGAGAGGAUGAUCAGUCACACUGGAACUGAGACACGGUCCAGACUCCUACGGGAGGCAGCAGC
rnacentral:rRNA from 1 species